UGGGGCUCUGACUUCAGGACACGUGGUCGCGCGGGUCGCUGCGCGGGAAGAUUGGAGGCGGCAGAGCUUGCGUCCAGGUCCAGUGGAACUGAGAGUGUGAACCUCCUGAGGCGUGAACAAGCACAGUGGACAGCUGCGUGUCAUGUCCAACUCUCUGACCCCGGACUGCAGCCCGCCAGGCACCCCUGUCCAUGGGAUUCUCCAGGCAAGAACCCUGGAGCGGGCUGCCAUGCCCUCCCUCCUCCAGGGGAUCUUCCCCACCCAGGGAUCGAACCUGCGUCUCCUGCAUUGCAGACAAAUUCUUUCCCGGCUGAGCCAUCAGGGAAGCCAGUGACACCCUGGACGGCAUUGUUCCAGCAUCCCGGUUUAUCCUCAUCACCUCGUGGCACUGCUUCCUUUGGCCAAGGUGGAAAAUCUUGUGAUUUAAAACUGUCUUGACUACAGAUGUGAAAGCGUGUCUUCUGAUUCCUGGUUCCUUCCUUUAAGUUGUCCAGUCUAGCCUUAAGCUAGGUAACUUUUUAAAACGCCCUGGAGAAGUGCCUUAUUCAGGCUGAGAGUAAUCUGGUAACAUUUUACCUCAUUUUCUAUUUGUUAUUCGUGG
ensembl:lncRNA